CCUCUGCUAAAACAAGUCAUUCCAGCUCGGCUAAGACCAGCGCCCAACUGACCUCUGCACUCCAUCAUCCUAGUGCCACCUCAGUUAUUCUGCCCUCUGCUAAAACAAGUCAUUCCAGCUCGGCUAAGACUAGCACCCAACUGACCUCUGCACUCCAUCAUCCUAGUGCCACCUCAGUUAUUCUGCCCUCUGCUAAAACAAGGCAUUCUGGCACAGAUCUUCCUCCAGAGACUGAGCAUGCCCAGGUUGAGUCUACUACCGCUGAGGCAGCAGCGGCAGGUGGGGGUGGAGUCCCCGGCUGGGGCAUCGCCAUCUUGGUUCUGGCCUGCCUCAUUCUGCUGCUUCUCAUUGUCAUCCUCAUCCUAUUGCUGAUUCGCUGGUUCUGUUCGAAGCCCGAGACUGGCAUCAUGAACGUAUCAGACGACCCAAACCUGUACAACAGUUCCAGUCCCAGUGACCUUCCUAUGUACCCUCAAGUGACAGACUCCAAGCAACCCUACAGCAAACUCCAUGAUGACAGUGCAGACAAACCCAAGAAAAACAAAACUGGGAUGUAUGUGGUCAACCCCUGAAGACCAAGCAGAGAACACUCAACCCCAAGGCUCCAAUGAAUGAGGGGGAAAAUCAGGAUAUGCCCAUGAACAUGUUGAUGCUACUGUGCAGGAAGAGCAGAAGAGGCUCCACCGAUAACACACACAAGUAUACAAUACACACACCAAGCUACACAGAGGAAAAACAUAUAUAUUAAUCUGAAAUCAACUAUGUAGCAGUAUGUUAUCAUUAUAUUCAUUAAAAAAAAAAAUAAAGAUAUAGAUGUUUUACCAAGAACACUUAGAAAUUCUCCUCCUGUUCCAUUCAGCCACACCACAAGGACUCCUGUUCCAUUCAGUCAGAACAUUAGGACUCCUGUUCCAAUAUGCCAUAACACAAGCACUUGCUAACUGCAGAGCAGUUGAACUCCUGAGACAUAACUGUAAAUAUGCAACUUUGGUUAUUCAUUUGUUUUGUUUUGUCCUUGUUUUACACUUCCUGCUGAAAGAAAAGCCAUCGGAUCCAAUCAACGGUCUUAAUUCACUGGUACUUACUAUUUUGACAUGCAUGAUUUGAGUGCACUGGAAAGUGCACCUGCAUACUGCUACAUAAUGUAUGCAGGUGCCUGGAUUAUUGUGUAUUCCCUGGCUGACCUUUGACCCUUAUCAGAGAAUUCCAACCUUGUUGGCAGGCGAUUCAUUCUCUACCUACAGCUGUUGUCCCAAGGGUCAGAAUCAUGUUAAGUCCCCCAUUGUCAUUAUACCUGUUAAAUGUUGAACUAUGUUGUUUUCUAUUUGUGGACCGGGAUUCACACGUUCACAUUGUUUGUGAAAUUGUAAAAUGUACCUCAAAGGAUGAUUUGCCUGAGA